CAUUUUCCUUAGCUAGGUUUUGGUGAUUAAGACCUUUAAAUAGAAAAUAAGAAAAAGCUCGAAGGCUCAUUUGGGUCUUGGCUGCCCACUGUAGAGAGAGAAAGAGAAAAGCUCGUGGGAGAGGAGAGAAAGAAGAAGGAAGAGAAGAGAAAGGGGAUCUCAACAAUUUAGGGCUAUAUCAAAGAGGAGACUUUGUUUGAGUUGUUGAAUUCUACCAAGGAAGGUAAAUAAUAGGAUUUCUCUUUGGCACGCACUGUGAUGUGGGGAGUUCUAAUGUCAGAGUAUGUAUGGCGUGGGGUGUCCUAUGAAUGAAUAAAUGAUCAAUAUGAGCGCCGAGAUUUAAAAGAAGUUAUGUUAUGAAUUUUAUUUACAAUUGCGUCAGUGGAAUUUAAACUCUUUAUUUUAUUUCUACUUAUUGCAUAAAGACAUUAUUUAUUUUCAACUAUUGGGCCAAACUUUCAUGUUUUAUCAAUGCCCCACUUAGUUUUUCCUUUAAGUGGUAUUUUUUCUAUUAAUUA